GUGACACAAAAACCAAGAUUUUCAGCGGAACACUCUCAAAACAACACCGGGCUUUAGCAGCGUGAGGCAAACAAGAAAUGUGACGUGAACUUCGAGGAUAAGCUCAUUCUGGCUGUGCCUGGACAGAGGGCCUAUCAGGACCGAUCCUCAUGUUGGAAGCAGAUGGCUGGUGCUGCUCGCAGUCGCAUCUCUCUCCCACACCAGGCUCUCUGGUUUCUCUGAUCGGCCCAGUGUGAGCUCCACAGCGUGCUGAGUAGAAAAAAAAAAUUAGUUUAAGACCCACGAAUGGAACAAAAGAGAUGUUUAUUGAAGGCUGUGCUCUCCAUGAAACCUUCACACUGCAGGGAGCAGGAGCUUAAUCUUAAAUCCAGAUGAGUCACCAGCUGGAACAUUUGCCAAGUCACUUUGGAUGAAUUGGGAUGGGCUCGAAGAACAGUAUGCUAAAAGAACAUGAUAAAAAAAAAAAAAGAUCUGAUAAAACAUACGUUCCCCAAAAUAUCAAUCACGAUAGAACUUUUUUGACACGAGCAAAGUGGUUUUGCUCACUGUGGAUUCUUAGAGCUGCAAAAUACGAUAAAAGAGUUGUUUUGUCACAACUUUAUUGGCAACACUGAAUUCCUUUAGUGUACCAAGAUGAGCAAAAUAGACCCAGAUCAAUUUACGUUGGCGAACAUGUUCGUUUUCUUCCUUAGUUUUUCUUCUCUAAUUAUUGAGGAUUUUACCAUGUGUAAAACAGCCAUCCAUCCUUUGGCUUCCCUUGGCCUCAGGCCAACAUAGUACCGUCAUCAGCCAUUGAAUGAAUAAUGCGAGAUUAGCAAGUUCGUGUCAACAUUUCGUUAGCAGAAUUAUCAAGUGCAGAUUUGGGGUAUUUAGUUAAAAAAAAGUUAUUUAAGUCAAGUCAAGAGGCCAAUGCAUGUGUGCGAGCGUGAAUGAGGGAGUGUGAGAGAAACGGUGUGUGUCGGUGUUCACAGUGUCUGUUAGAUAACAAGCAUGUGUAAGUCCCAGUAAAAGGAAACUGGGCACUGUAAUAGCUUAAUCCAUUAAAUGAAAUGGCGACAUACAUACUCAUUUAUAUCCCAAAAAGCAUAUGGAUUAGUGUUUUUGUGUAAUUUGGCUUCC